rnacentral:rRNA from 1 species
CCUACGGGAGGCAGCAGUGGGGAAUAUUGGGCAAUGGGCGCAAGCCUGACCCAGCAACGCCGCGUGAAGGAAGAAGGCUCUCGGGUUGUAAACUUCUUUUCUCAGGGACGCAGCAAGUGACGGUACCUGAGGAAUAGGCCACGGCUAACUACGGGGCAGCAGCAGCGGGAAUACGGAGGUGGCAAGAGUUAUCCGGAUUUAGUGGGUGUAAAGGGCGUGUAGGCGGGAAAGCAAGUCAGAUGUGAAAACCAUGGGCUCAACCUGUGGCCUGCAGUUGAAACUGUUUUUCUUGAGUACUGUAGAGGCAGACGGAAUUCCUGGUGUAGCGGUGAAAUGCGUAGAUAUUAGGAGGAACACCAGUGGCGAAGGCAGUCUGCUGGACAGCAACUGACGCUGAGGCGCGAAAGUGUGGGGAGCAAACAGGAUUAGAUACCCCUGAAGUC